rnacentral:rRNA from 1 species
AGUGAACGCUGGCGGUAGGCCUAACACAUGCAAGUCGAACGGCAGCACAGUAAGAGCUUGCUCUUACGGGUGGCGAGUGGCGGACGGGUGAGGAAUACAUCGGAAUCUACUUUUUCGUGGGGGAUAACGUAGGGAAACUUACGCUAAUACCGCAUACGACCUACGGGUGAAAGCAGGGGAUCUUCGGACCUUGCGCGAUUGAAUGAGCCGAUGUCGGAUUAGCUAGUUGGCGGGGUAAAGGCCCACCAAGGCGACGAUCCGUAGCUGGUCUGAGAGGAUGAUCAGCCACACUGGAACUGAGACACGGUCCAGACUCCUACGAGAGGCAGUAGUGGGGAAUAUUGGACAAUGGGCGCAAGCCUGAUCCAGCCAUACCGCGUGGGUGAAGAAGGCCUUCGGGUUGUAAAGCCCUUUUGUUGGGAAAGAAAAGCAGCAGGUUAAUACCCCGCUGUUCUGACGGUACCCAAAGAAUAAGCACCGGCUAACUUCGUG